CCCAAAUCCUCUUCUCCAAGAAGGUAGGCACCACCCGCUUUGCCCUUCUCUACUCGCUUUUCUUCUAGGUCCGUGCUGUUGUAAGUCAUUUGAGGGACCUGUAUACAAUCCCAGAUCUACUCGUGGGGCAUGUGUGACCCUAUUUGGGCUUGGGUACUCUGCCCCUCGGUUUGCUCCUCUCUGUGAAAUCGGCAGAGGAUGCCCAUUCAAGGAAAAAGAGCAGGGAGCAUGAGACACACGGUCGUGGGGACAGCUGACCCCUCUCUCCCUUUGCUUCUUGGGAGAUCCCUGCCAGGGUGCAAGAUGUGGAUUCGAGUUGCUUGAAGGGAAGUGGCAUUUCCUCUGGUGCCAGAGGACAGGGCCUGACAGCCUACUCACCCACUUCGUCACUGCUCCCGGCUUUCCCUUUGUUAUAUUUCCUGGGACUUCCCAUGGCUGGACUCCGUCCUGGGCAAUUCUGAGACCCAGAGAUAAGUCAGAUCCAGACCCACCUAAGCCCCGACCCUUAUUCGCUUUUUGAGAAACUGAUAGAUGAGGUCGAAAACGCUAGGAAGUGUUGGAACUUUUGCACCCAGACAGUCUGAUUCCAGAUCCCCAACGCUUCCUGGGACAGCAGACGUUUGAGCUGGGACUCCCAGGAUAUGAAAGGACAAGAAGGUAUUUCAGGGACAGCAGAACAACCUUCAAGGCACACGGAGAAGUUGGAUGCCUUUGUAGAGGGGUUCUUUAGUGGGGAAUGAGACCUCCAUUGGAGCUGUCGAGUUCCACCCAGGGGCAGGAAGUCAGUCGCCACCCACAGAGCUAGUGACGAGACACUGGAAGGCUGAGCUGGCCACCCGCACUGCCCCAGGGCAGGAGGAUGAAGACGAAGAUGAAGAUGAGUCUCCACCUUGCUCCACAGCCAAACACAGCCAAGGCACCAGGAAGUUGUGUUACGUCACUUCUGCUUUUCAGGACUCCAGUGGGGGUGACUCCUGCGCUUCUGAGGAGGAACCAACCUUUGACCCCGGCUAUGAACCUGACUGGGCUGUCAUCAGCACUGUGCGGCCACAGCCCCGCCACUCAGAGCCCACGAGAGGUGCAGAGUCCAGCUGCCCCCAGGGCUCCUGGGCCUUCUCAGUGAGUCUGGGGGAGCUCAAGUCCAUCCGCCGCUCCAAGCCGGGCCUCAGCUGGGCCUACCUGGUUCUGGUGACCCAGGCUGGAGGUUCCCUGCCUGCACUGCACUUCCACCGCGGGGGCACCCGCGCCCUGCUCCGCGUCCUCAGCCGCUACCUGCUGUUGGCCAGCUCCCCACAGGACUCCCGCCUCUACCUUGUCUUCCCCCACGACUCCUCUGCCCUCUCCAACUCCUUCCACCACCUGCAGCUCUUUGACCAGGACAGCUCCAAUGUGGUGUCUCGCUUCCUCCAGGAUCCCUACUCCACCACCUUCAGCAGCUUCUCCCGAGUGACCAACUUCUUCCGGGGUGCCCUGCAGCCACAGCCCGAGGGAGCCGCCUCCGACCUUCCCCCGCCACCCGACGAUGAGCCCGAGCCUGGGUUCGAGGUCAUUUCCUGUGUGGAGCUGGGGCCUCGGCCAACUGUGGAGCGGGGCCCUCCAGUUACAGAGGAGGAGUGGGCGCGCCACGUGGGCCCUGAGGGCCGCCUGCAGCAGGUCCCCGAACUGAAGAACCGGAUCUUCUCAGGGGUGAGUGCCAGGACAGGUGGAAGGAUGGGGCAGGGCCAGAACAAGGCCCCAUUAAGCUGCCUGCCCUCCUGUACCCCCAGGGUCUGAGCCCCAGCCUGCGGCGCGAGGCCUGGAAGUUCCUCCUGGGGUACCUCAGCUGGGAAGGCACAGCUGAGGAGCACAAGGCCCACAUACGCAAGAAAACGGAUGAGUAUUUCCGCAUGAAGCUGCAGUGGAAAUCUGUGAGCCCUGAGCAGGAGCGGAGAAACUCACUCCUGCACGGAUACCGCAGUCUCAUCGAGAGGGACGUGAGCCGCACUGACAGGACCAACAAGUUCUACGAGGGUCCCGAGAACCCGGGGCUGGGACUGCUGAAUGACAUCCUCCUCACCUACUGCAUGUAUCACUUCGACCUCGGCUACGUCCAGGGCAUGAGUGACCUUCUCUCCCCGAUCCUCUACGUCAUUCAGAACGAGGUGGAUGCUUUCUGGUGUUUCUGUGGCUUCAUGGAGCUUGUGCAAGGGAACUUUGAAGAGAGCCAGGAGACCAUGAAGCGGCAACUCGGGCGACUGCUGCUGCUCCUGAGGGUGCUGGACCCCCUGCUCUGCGACUUCCUGGAUUCCCAGGACUCCGGCUCUCUCUGCUUCUGUUUCCGGUGGCUGCUUAUCUGGUUCAAGAGGGAAUUCCCCUUCCCGGAUGUCCUUCGGCUGUGGGAGGUGCUGUGGACAGGGCUCCCUGGCCCCAAUCUGCACCUGCUGGUGGCCUGCGCCAUCCUGGACAUGGAGAGGGACACCCUCAUGCUGUCCGGCUUCGGCUCCAAUGAGAUCCUCAAGCACAUCAACGAGCUGACUAUGAAGCUGAGCGUGGAGGACGUGCUGACCCGCGCCGAGGCCCUGCACCGCCAGCUAACCGCCUGCCCCGAGCUGCCCCACAACGUGCAGGAGAUACUGGGGCUGGCGCCGCCCGCAGAGCCCCACAGCCCCUCGCCCACCGCCUCCCCGCUGCCUCUGUCGCCCACCCGGGCCCCGCCCACCCCGCCGCCUUCCACGGACACAGCCCCGCAGCCCGACAGCAGCCUGGAGAUCCUGCCCGAGGAGGAGGACGAGGGCGCCGACUCCUAACCCCGCCAGGCAGCCUCGUUCUGCACAGGCACUUUAGCCCGAGCCAGGCACACCUGGGAGGGGGCGGGUGUGCUCCGCCGCCCUACUGAUAAGCUGGCUUCAUUAAACUGACACUUCUCAUGUG
rnacentral:sRNA from 1 species